UAACCAUGAGCAGUCCGGUAUCUCAAGUGCAGAGGCAGUGGAACUGCUGGCCACAAGAGGAGUUUAAUGCAGCCCAAUAGAGUGACAAAACACUAAACUGUCUUCUGUUCUUAAUGUUAAAGAUGCAAAGAGAAAGAAAGUGGCCUACCUCAUGGAUCAUGGUUUGCUGAUUCGCUGUUGGAGUGGCAAUGUCUUUGAUGGUGGAGACUGGAAUGCAACCUAUCAAGUUGUGGUCCUAGCGGCAUAUCGAUCUCAGGUACUGUCUCUGGCUCAUGACAAUCCGUGGGCUGGACUUCUAGGUAUCACGAAGACGUAUGAUAGUCCUUAGACAUUUCUUCUGGCCAGGACUCAAGUCUGAUGUGGUGCAAAUUGCCGCUUGUAACGUGUGCAAGGUAACUGGCAAACCAAACCAAGUGGUUUCUCCUGCCCCACUCUGUCCCAUACCCGUGAUGGGUGAGCCAUUUAAAAAAGUGAGACCAUUAUCAAAGACUAAAUCUGUCAACCAAUUUCUUCUAACUAUUAUGUGUAGAACUUAGUGUAUACUAGGUUCCCAGAGGCUGUUCCGCUACAGAAGAUCACAGCUCCAGUUCCAGCUCUUAUGAAGUUCUUUACGAUGUUUGGACUUCCUAAGGUGGUUCAGACCGAUAAAGGUACCAAUUUCACGUCCCAAGUCUUUUCCCAGGUACUUAAAACCUUAGGCAUUAAGCAUAUAAUUUCAAGCCCAUAUCAUCCUGAAAGCCAAAGGGCACUAGAAAGGUUUCAUCAGACCUUGAAGUCCAUGCGCAGGAAACACUGUUUUGAGAGUCGAAAGGACUGGGAUGAUGCUGUGCCAUUAGUUUUGUUUGCUGCUCGUGAAGCUGUACAGGAGUCACUCGGAUUUAGUCCUGCCAAACUAGUGUUAGUAGUGGACAUGAGGUCCGUGGCCCCUUAAAACUUCUAAAAGAACAACUUCUUUUGCCAGAAGGGAAGACGGUCCGUAGCAUCCCUGAGUAUGUUAGGAAACUCAGAGCUCGGCUUCAGAGCGCCUGCUCUUUGCCCAGAGAAUCUCUAUCCUCCUAUCAGGUGAAAAUAAAGAAAUCCACUGCCCACUCGUUUCAACCUGGUGACAAGGUUUUGAUUCUUUCUCCUAUCUCUGGUUCUGCUCUAUCUGCAAAAAUUUCCGGUCCCUUUGUUGUGGAGAAGAAAGUUAGUGACACUAACUUCAUCAUUUAAACUCCUGAUCGCAGAAACAGAUUGUGUCAUGUAAAUAUGAUCAAGUCAUAUUUUACAGCAGAAAAUGGAAGUGGAAACAAUAAUUCUGACAACAAAUGAAGAAAGAACUGCAGGGACAAAGGCAGUUAAUAUUAAUACUUAAAAAGUAAACAACAAAUGUAGGUUUGAAAAAGGUGGGGGGGGAGAGUGAAAUGUGGGGGUUGUACCAAACAAAAUAAGCAAAGUACAAUAAAAUAGGGCCUAGCUCAACACUGUGUGGAAAGGAAAAAGACAACAAAAGGCCUGACUAUCUUAUCUACCAAAGUGUCCAAAAGUAAUAGAAAUACAUUGGUGGCAACAACCGUCUCUGAGUGUAUGAAUGUACAGGGUACCCCAGCUUUAUCUCAGUACCAUUUCCCCACCACAAACCUUAAUGGACAAAGUCAGAGAGAGCGAGAGCAAAAAGAGAGAGAAGCUUUAAAUAGUGUCCUCCAUCUUUGAUUGCUGAAAUGGCUGGAGUGUGAGCCAAUCCACAGGAUGCUAUGGAGGCAGGGCCAGCCAAUCCUCCACCUCUCUCACCUGCAGGACAAGGGGAGGAGAGAGCAAGAGAGACACACGUUUACUUCUCUCUACACGUAACACCUUCAUAUGCAUUAUCUUUUUGGUUGUCUCUCACUCUUAAUCUGUCAUUCUGUCUCUCCACAGAAGGAUACUUUAACCACUGCUACAAGGGGCAUGGAAUACACACACACACACACUAUUACAGCAUGAAAAAUAAACAAGCCACUGCGACACACAUUACCUGGCUGGGCUUGAUGAAUGGGCCUAGUUUAAAUUAUUUUGUGCAGAUCUCAUUUAGGCCCUUGAAGAAGAGAUCCAGCCUCUUUAUUCAUUUCACAUUUGCACCCAGGCUUCAAUAUCUCCGUCCAUGCCUGCAAAGGACAUACCCUUCUCCCAUCCAAGAGGAGAAAUAAAAGCCUGUAAAGAAAAGAGACAGAGAGACAGGGAGGAGACAGAAAAAAGCAAUUUACACAAUGUACAUAACAUGAUGCACUCAGAGUUUGAUAACGUGCAUAAAUUAUAGAGUAUAAUUAAAUACUAUACCCCGUGAAUCACGAAAGAGAAGAUGGGUGGAGAACAGACAAGAGAAUAAAAGCAGGGAGUGUGAAGAGAAAGAGAAAAAACAUGAGAAAGAGCGUGUUUGUGCUAGAUCUCAUAAUUAUUUCUAUUGAUUAUUUCUUAAAGGUAAAAUAGUUCUAAGGUAAAUAUGAACAGUCAGGUGAGGGACAGGUAGGAAUCAGGGGAAUAUAUAUCAGGGCCCGUAUAUAUUAAAUGGAAUAUUACAAGUUUAGCAAAGGGUAGGCGUGUAGGCCAUUUCUGGUGAGCACACAAUUGACCUAAGAAUAUAUUCAAAUUAGCAAAGCGCACUCACAGAGAGGGUAGUAAGUUUGUGUGUGUGUGUGUGUGUGUAUUUAAGUGUGUGUGUGUGUGUGUCUCUGCUGAAGAAAACUGUCUUUGUUCACUCCCUUUUUCCUCUUUGACCCGAGAGACAGCGAGAGACAUACAGAUGAAAAGACAGAAAUAUAAAAAAGGAAAAGUUAAUAUACGUACCAGACAAACUUUUGACUGUUCCUGUGAGGUCGAUAUAACAGCUGCCAUUCUUAAUGUGGAAUGGAGAUGAAUCAAGACGGAGGUUUCACUUUACUACUGGGACGAUUGGACGAAAUGUCAUGCCAUUCGUUAACUGGGAGCUGUACAUAUUUAAAUAUAUAAUCUUGAAUAACAAAUCAAAUCUUGAUUGUCCUGAAAUCCCAAAUUAAAGGUUGUAAUGGAGGGACAUAUGAUAAAUAACAAUCCAAGGUGCUACUCGCCAUCCUAGCUCCUUUUUGGGGACUCGUGUCAUUUUUAAACCAUGCUUUUGUUCACCAAGUUGGGACUUGGCUGACCAUUAUAGUGGUGUCAGGUAAUCAUUCCGGCUCAUAUUGGAUCCUUUUUUCCGGAACUUAACAGAUUGCCAUUAAGUAAAUAAAAAACAUUUUGCUUUCUAUUGAUUUAUAUUGAUUAAGGGUGUUGCAUGAUGCGCUAUUGAUGGUAAAUUAUGAAUGGACAUCUGGCUUUGAACAGCAACUGAGAUUAAACCAAAAAAUAACCAAUUAGCAGACGCUUUCUGAAGUUUUUGCAAAAUAGCACCCAAUACACACAAAUCAUGGGAUCACCAAAGUUAUUACAACUAAUCUUGAAGGUAACAUGGAUUCAUAAGUUCAUUAAAGCCUUAGUGAGCAGUGUAGGUGAGGUGGACUCAGCUGGUUAUCUUUGAGCAGCUAUUGUCACCGCACUAAAUGUUAGGGUUUAGGUGAAGGUUCGGACCCCAAAGCAGACAAGGAGAGGUUAGUGGUUGGAUAUGUGGACAAAAGUUUAUUGGCUGGCGAGGAUCCUGGCAACGGGGAGGACGAAGAGCCGGGCAGUGAUGCACACGAGCGUUCGUAGUUGACGGAAUAAUCUGGCGUCGACGUGAUGAGACGCCCAGGUUUAUAUGGAGGAGGAUGAUUGGAUGCAGGUGUGUCUCGUCCAGUCCAGUUGCCGCCAACAGCCAGCCACACCCCCUGCCGCACACAACACAGGAGAACACAGCCAAAACCCAAACAAACAGAAACACAAUCACCACACUAAACACACUAAAACUACAAGGAGGAUAUAUCUCACAAAUGAUAGUAAUUGAGUAUACUUUUCCCAAGAGCCACGCAAACUCAUAGACAGAUGAAGUCAGAAUUCAAAGCGUACAUUUUUUAAAUUACGGUUUCUUUUAAAUCUACACUUAGUGAUGGCUGAUUAACACAAGAGAUGACAGCAAAGGACCAGUGUGCGCGCAGCAAAACAACAGUCUUAGCUCUGAAGUAAAAACACACCAUCUAACCGCUACUCCAUCUUUGUCUCUCUCCCACACUCACCCAUUGUUUAUUCAAAUUUUGCAGAUGGGGUACUUUUUCCAGUUCAGCACCUUCACCGGUUUUGUGAGAGAGAAAGCGGCAUUAUGCAUGUGUUAUUAUGCAAUUCAUCACCAAUAAUAGAUUUGUUUACGGGGGCCCCCGUCUCUCACCCGCUCUCAGCACUGCAUUUUCAAAAUAAUAAUAAUAAUACAUAGUGUAUAAUGACGGUAAUGGUACGAAGGCUUUGAUAAUAGAUGUGCUGGGAGGGAUAAGGGAGCCCUGAUCAGCCUGGGUCUCAGCUCAAUUGUCUUCAAAGCACUGUUUAAUGUAGAAUAGGCAUCCAGGGAGAUUGUCUUUAAACCAAGAAAAAAGGUGGGUGUACGGAUAAGAGAAAUGAACGUACCGAUGGGAGUAUGAACCCGCGCGUACGCACACAUGCACACCUAAGCAGACGUACGCUACCAGCUCAAAAAAGCUCACACAACCACCCACUGGUGCGUCUCUCCUCAGAGGGAUCCCUGGUAUAAAUGUGUUAAAACUCUCCCUUGGUCUUUGGCUCUUGCUGUAUAAAUCUGUGUUUUAGUCUUCACUUUAGCACUUUAAACUCAGGGUAUUUCCAGCAUGUUUUCUCUGCCUCCCCCUGAGCUUUGACGGAGAUCUCAAGCAGCAGACGGAUAUAGCAGCACUAGUUUACAAGCAUGCGGUGGUACAUGUAAGUGAGUGUUUUAUUAUGUUCCCAAUAACAGGCACAAUUCAAGUAGUAAUACAAUUAUUUAACUUUCAUUAUCACCUUUCAUUAAUUCUUUUGAUAAUGAAAACACUGUCUUAGCACGAGCCUCCAAGCAUUACUGGGAAAGAAUGUGGUUAGGGUUACAAAAAGGAGACAAAAUAUAUACGACAGGCUAAACAAAACCCAAAAAUAAAUGGGCAAAUUCAAUUUCAUGAGUUGAAAACAAAUUGUGAAGAGGAUCAAGUGUCACAAGCGCUGGAGUGGCGUGGCCGAAAGCAGGACCCGGACGCAGAGUUUUAACAAGGUUGUUUUAAUAAUUCAAAAAAAAUCAAAAAAUGCUGAGGAGAAACAGGCAGACAAGACAGUGAGCAGGAACUUACACGAUAUGGGGAUGAGGUUCAGGGUAGACAUUCAAUGACGCGACAAGGGAUAAGAAACACACAUGGCUUAAAUACACUGGGAAGGUGAUUGGACAGAGGUGGAAACGAUCAUGGACACGGCAGACAAUCACAGGGGACAAGGCAUGAAGUGAAGUUAACCCAGGGACACCAGAGGCAUGAAACUACAAAAUAAAACCAGUUCUGGGGACCAAACUCUGCUGAGUCCUUGUAUGGUCGCGUCAAUCUGUCACAACGUUUAGGGUAGACAUUCAAUGACGCGACAAGGGAUAAGAAACACACAUGGCUUAAAUACACUGGGAAGGUGAUUGGACAGAGGUGGAAACGAUCAUGGACACGGCAGACAAUCACAGGGGACAAGGCAUGAAGUGAAGUUAACCCAGGGACACCAGAGGCAUGAAACUACAAAAUAAAACCAGUUCUGGGGACCAAACUCUGCUGAGUCCUUGUAUGGUCGCGUCAAUCUGUCACAACGUGUAGACAUCUUGAAUGUCUACCCGUUCACAACGGGUAGACAUUCAAGACUUGGAGACUGACAAUGACGCGACAAGGGAUUAGAGAAACACAUGCCUUAAGUACACUGGGAAGGUGCAGGUGAUUGGGCACAGGUGGAAACAAUCAUGGACACGGCAGACAAUCACAGGGAAUGACAAGGCAGGAAGUGAAGUUAAUCCAGGGACACCAAAGGCAUGAAACUACAAAAUAAAACGAGACGUGAACCCAAACCGUGACAUCAAGUUUGGAUAUGGACCUUUCAAUCACAAGGUUGCCACACGCUAAAGAAUGUGCUGCUUUAUUGUCCAUUGGCUAUAAAUGGACCCUCAUUUAUGAACACCAUGCUCUAUUGAAGAAUACAUGAAACUACUUAGUUUAAAAUUCUACUCGAGGACAAUGCCUAAUCUUAAUCAAUUGUCUGCCUCAACCAGGUAAGUAGAGCAGGUGAAGAGAUGAAAGGGGAUUCAGAAACACAGCUUGUACUUGAUGAGUUUUGUUUUUUGUCAGAUUUGAGUUGAUGGCAAUGCAUCCUGGCUGAAUUCAAUAAACCUUUAUGGGAACACUUAUUAUGCAAUUCUUUCCAUAUUCAAAAGCGUACGCUGCAAAGGAAUGACACGACAGUUGCAUAAAGACUGAAAGGUCUCUAAAAGCUACAUUCAGAAAAAUUAUUGAUCUUUAACCCACUAAAAUAGCUGUCUAUAAUAUUCAGGUGUCUUAUUGUGAUGAGACUGCAAACUGUUAAUACCAAACUCCAAAGCUCAAUACAGCUCUGGAGCCUGUUUUAGUUCAUCUCAGAUUUAGUGCGUGUGUAAGGGUUACAGGUAUUGGAACCCAAAAGCACAACUCUGAGACAGAAAUCCAAUCAAAGUUCUUUAAUUCAGGCAAGGUCAAAACCGGGAUAUCAGUCCAACGGGCAAUCAAAUCCAGAGAGGCAGGCAGGGAAUCCGUAAACAAGGAUAGGCGGUGGUCAGAACUAGGAUGGCAAUCAGACAAAUCCAAAAAAGGGGCAGGCACAGAGUUUGUGGUCAAAAGGCAGGCUAAGUCAGGAAGGGGUAUCAGGUAAUCGGAAAACGCUGGAAAACUUGGCAUACACACAAGACAAUCUGGCAGAGGGCAAGUGGAAGUGUGGGGACCUAAAUAGUGAGGGGCUAAUGAGGGAAUGGGCUGCAGGUGGGAAGGGCAUGAGGACCAGGUGAAGAGAAUGAGAGAAGAUCUGGUGUUGAUGACAGGAUUUGGAAUGACAGUAGAGUUAAUUGACAAGCAGGCAGGCCGGGAAAAAAGCUAAUAAGACGGAGAAUUCGUAACACUUACAUCAUCAAGACUAAGAUUUGUAUCCUGUCUUUCAAUGACAUCACCAUCGCUCUCUUUUCCUGUACAGAUAGUUCUGAAUCGUUCAAUGCCCCUCAACUCACUUGUGGACUGGCUUUUGUUGAAAAGACGGUAUACACUGGACUAGACCUCAUGGGACAUGUUCUUUCAAAGGGACAUGAAAGUCUUUUGAUUUAUGCAAAUAAUUCAUGGGAAUUUUAAGAGGUUCAAGUUGUAUUGUAUUUUGUACCAAAGACACAUCACAUUCCUUCAGAUAUCUUUCUUGCAACCUCUUGGGAGUAUCCUAAACCCCUUUCAGAACUAGUAAAAUGACAACUAAAACGAGAGGACAGGAACAACAUAAGACGCAGUAGGCAAAAAACAGUGGUCUGUGUCUCCCACACUUACACAAUGCUGACAAGUCAGAAUCAGCAAAAUUCCAACAACCACAUUGAAUGAUACGCCCUGAAUAUUACAACUGUCUCAUGUCCCAGGGUGACUCAGAGAUCAUGCGUGCCUUUUAGUAUGCACAUAACACACUUGUGGAAAGUGGAAGCACGCAAAAGUGCACAUAAGCAAACACACACACACACAUACACACUGUUGAGUUUGCCACACGUGAACUUUUACAGCCUCUGAGCUAUUCAUUUUACAAAUUUCAUAGCCUUUUAGAAUUUUUUCCUGUGAAGAAGAUUGCAGCCUGGUCUCAGAUGCAUUAUUGAAUUCCCUAUAAUAGAGAAUGGAGAAGAGAAAGAGUGUGACAGACAGAGAAAAAGCAUAACGAAAGAGAGGGACACCAUCAGAGGAACAAGUCUGUCUAGCCUGAUUGAGAAUUGGAGGCAACACAGGCCUAAACACAGGCCUCGUCUGGGUGAAGCAAAAUUGCCGCAUUUUGCACCUCCUUUUUCCCCUCUGCAACCAAUUUUCCUAUCGCUCCUUGAUUUAAUGAUGAUCUGUCGAUCAAUUACUGUGUGUUACCUAAUAGCUCGAAUAAAACAUUGUUGAAAAUCCUUGAUGAAUUGAAGUAAAUGGAAGGCAGGUUAGCAACAGCAACACUACGUCAAAACAUCCGUUCACAAACUUGCACAACUAGUAUUCCAUACGCACCUCUGUCAAAAUCGUACUGUUCAAAACACAUCCGCAACCCGUAUUUGUGCCACAAGUCCGACAUUAGUCAGGGGCGUGAUGUUUUCCAGCAGAUGCAUUUCUACUUCAUCUCAUGUAGUGUAGUCACAUUAGAAAUUGAUUUCCUCAUAACAAGAGACCAUUAAUUCUCUCAAUAUUAUUGUAUUACUUACUUUAUACUAUCCUUUAAAAUUAUACCUUGUUUAUAGUGGUUUACAUACAUCAGCAUACAGUACAUGUGUAAUUGUGCUUUCUCUGACUCGUUCUCUCUCUCUCUCCCUCCCUCCUUCUUUCCUUUUUUACACCAGUAGCACCUGGACUUGCACUAUUCAUCAUGCGGAUGACUCGUAACAUGAAUUAGUUUUUUUUUACAGUGGAAGAUGAGAGGACCAGAUGGCAUGGAAUAAAAAAGGGAGGAAAGCAUGGAAGAAGGGAGGAAAGAAGUUAUGGAAGGAGGGAUGUGGUUGAGGACAACAUAAUUCAGCGCCCCCCCCCCACUAUAUCAUCUUCUGCUCUUUACACACGGCCUUCUAUGUUAUCAUAGAGGACACAUGGUAGUGUCGGAUUAAGGUCUUGGAUUUUUUACGCCAUUACAAACAGCAUUAGAGCUUUUCACAUGACCUCCAUUGUAGUUUCUUUUACUUCAAAAAAGAAAAUUGUGAAACUCUAAUUAGUCUGUAUAAUUGAGUCCGGAUGAAGCGCUGCCAAUCGGAGCCGGUCUCAUGCAAGGUGGAGAGGUUUUGUUCACUGACUGUCUUUUCAUGGCGGCCCGGCCUCUCUCUUUUUCCCCCCGUCUCUCCGCGUCUUUCCCAGCACUCCCAUAGUUUUGUGGUUAUCUCUUUUUUUAGAAUAGUAGAGAAGAGGCUCUGCUUGAGAAGGCCAGGAGGAGAGGUUUGCAUUAUUGGAGCAUCAAUUGCGGCCAAUUAGACCUGUGUGAAUGCACACUCUCUGUACCUGCUUCAUGCUGUUGGGUUGUAGGAGACCAGCACUGGGUUUCAACCACCACCAGCCGUCGCAAUCUCAACAUCUUCUUGUUUUCAUUGCAUACCAAAGUAACACUCUCUGCAUUCUCUAGGUUUUUGCUUAGCUACUGCAUCUGUUCUCAUCUUCAGUGAGCUGAAUGGAAAACGGGUAAUUUUCUUCCCAAUCCUGUUGUGUUACGCCAAGCAGAAACAGUCAAGGCUGCACCAUAGUAAUGGAUGUGGCAGUAGACCUGACAAAAAGGAACCUUCCAAAUGAUGCUAAUACCAACAUACUCCGACAGGGGAUCUCCUCCCGCUCCAUGCCAUCUAAGAAAGAAAUUGUACAGAUUAUGCAUCCCAGCUGCUAGGUUAAGUUAAGUCAAAUUGAGAAGCUGCAUAAAACAUUACAUGAAAGUUGGUGUUGUGUUCUAAAAAUGAAGCAACCUCUUGGAUUGAAAAGUAAAAAUCAAAAGUAUUUAAUAAAAGAAAAGGUGUUGUGCUAAAAACAACAUAUCAGCUCUCUGUAAUAAACAGGCAACAGGGCAGCCCAUUCACCACCCAUAGUGACUGUCUCUUGCCUCCACCAACGAACUUCGAGAACAAUGGGUGCCUACAGGUAUUUAUACAGUUCAGUCAAGAGCUGUGUCUCAAAGUCGACCGCAUACGUAUCUUCCGCUGCGACUCAGCUGCGACUUGCCUGUCCCAAUUCGUGGGCUCCUCAGAACGCGGUCGUGGGACACAGCCCUCCAGGAGGCAAUUUGGAGGACACAUCUGAUCUAUCCUUUGCGGCCAAGCAUAUGUCAGCAUGCAGUGCGGUCCGACGAGGAUUUCAUUUAUUCAGGACGGAGACGGGUGAUCCGACUGCGCGGGACAGUUUACUUGUAAAUGUAACUGUAAAGUAAUAAAAUUGUCUUGAAUAUCUACAAAUAUAAUUUAUAUAUAUAUAUAUAUAUAUAUAUAUAUAUAUAUUAUAAUAUAUAAAAUCACAUUUUAGUUUAUGAAAUCGAUAGAAUAAACUGCUCUUUGUCAUAACGUUAACCCCCCCGAUACAGUUUCUGACCCAGGCUCUCACCUGAACCCCCCCCCCCCCCCUUGGUCCAUGUACUGCUCUUAUGAAUAUCAAUGUACUAACACACAUUAAUGACAAAUACACAACGAGCAGCUCGUUACCGGAAGCCACUGCGCUGUUAACGGCAGCUCGUCUCCCUGCAUCCACCCGUAGUUAUUAGUGAAAAGUCACUUUGAUGGCUUAACUUUAAAGGCUGAUUAAUAUUUUGUGGGGGCUGAGACGGUUUAUAAUUCACAUUAUGAACAGAAAUGGAUCAAAGUGAGCUCAGGUAGACAAGUUGUGAAAUAUCACUUUCAGUCAGUAACGUUACAGAAUAUAUACACAAAGAAAUUAAACUUCCUUUGUUCGGUUGGGAACGGCCUUACGCGGGGCACCAUUUUGUUGGGCACGACAUAGGGGUAAUCCAUCCAUCCAUCCAUUUUCAACCGCUUAUCCGGCGUCGGGUCGCGGGGGCAACAGCUCCAGCAGGGGACCCCAAACUUCCCUUUCCCGGGCCACAUCUACCAGCUCCCAAGGCGUUCCCAGGCCAGUGCAGAGAUAUAAUCUCUCCACCUAGUCCUAGGUCUUCCCCGGGGCCUCUUCCCAGCUGGCCGUGCCUGAAACACCUCCCUAGCGAGGCGCCCAGGGGGCAUCCUUGCCAGAUGCCCAAACCACCUCAACUGGCUCCUUUCGACGCAAAGGAGCAGCGGCUCUACUCCGAGCUCCUCGCGAAUGGCUGAGCUUCUCACCCUAUCCCUAAGGGAGACGCCAGCCACUCUCCUGAGGAAACCCAUUUCGGCCGCUUGUACCCGUGACCCAGUUCUUUCGGUCAUGACCCAUCCUUCAUGACCAUAGGUGAGGGUAGGAACGAAGAUUGACUGGUAGAUCGAGAGCUUUGCCUUGCGGCUCAGCUCUCUUUUCGUCACAACGGUGCGGUAAAGCGAGUGCAAUACCGCCCCCGCUGCUCUGAUUCUCCGGCCAAACUCACACUCCAUCUUCCCCUCACUCGUGAACAAGACCCCGAGGUACUUGAACUCCUUCACUUGGGGUAAGGCACCCUCCUCUCCAGAUCCUGCCCCGCUAGCUCGGGAGUCGCCCGUGCCCUCUCCGCAUCCCUAUGAUGGAACGCUGGCGAAGUGCCGGGGAUUCCUCUUUCAAUGCCGGCAGGUUUUUGACAGCCAGCCUCUAACCUUUGCAUUGGGCCAGUCCAAGGUUUCCAAUGUGGUCAGAUUACUCCGUCGAAGGGCUGUGGCAAUAAGAUGUUUGGCAGCCACUGUCAUGCUAUCAAUGAUGAUGGUUACGAGACCAGUGCCUCCCUGUUACAUUAACUUCAAGACCUAUGGGCCUAAUCUCAAUUAAAUUUCUGAGGAAUCUGUGAUUCACUUCUCCUGUCACUGGCCUGUCAUUCAACAGUGCUUUUUAUUUUUGGACUAGAUGCAAAUUUCGGAAAUUGCUCAGGGAUUCAAGCAAAGCGAGGAUAGGGAGAAGAGAGAUGGAGGAAAAACGAGAAGAUGAAAACUUCAAGGAAAUUACUGUCGGGAGGUUGAGUCUGUUUGCUGCACACCAAAGGGGGUUAAGACAGGGUUUGGCUUGCAAAGACAAGCCAACAGAGACACAAAACGCUAAAUCUAAAGUUUCUCCAGCAUUGUUUAGACUCCUAACAAGGGGGACUGUGAACAACAAGGAACAUCAUUUGGAUUUCCCUCCCCACUUCCUCUGUUUUCCUUUUCCAUGUACCCAAGCACAUAAAUAGCUAUCUUAACAACUUGCUGCUAUUUUGAAUAGGGGCUGCAUCUCCCUGUGGAUUUCCAUGAGUGAGGCAAUUUGCUGGCGAACAGGUGCAUUUUUAAUGCUUUCAUACAAUUAAAACAGGAUCUACCUUCCUUCUUCCUUCCUUGUUUUCAGAGGCGCCCUCCUUUCAUACUUAGGUGGAAUUGAUUUAGUUUGUCUAAUUAAACUCAGAAUAAGAUGUUAAUUACCUAACAAGGUCACCUCUCUCUACCACCAAAUUCACCAUUGGUGUUCUUUCUUCAACAGUAUUUUCGUCAAGGAUUCAAAGGGAAAGUAGAAGAAUGGUGUUAAUUGCCUAUAUGCCGUGUCCCAAUUUUAAAUUUCAACGUCUUUUUUCCCCCCCAGAACUUUCUCUUUCCUGGGUCUUUUUAGGCUGUGAGAAAAUAGGGAUUUAUUGUGCCAUUGUUCUUUUCUCUCUUGUCCUCCAGUCAGAAAAGAUGCGUCAACUCAUCACAAUAUGGCCUUUGUCUACAUUUACCAAGUUUCCAUUCCCAGAGUGGGGGGAGAGUGAAGGACUGCUUGCGACAAUGGUGUGUUAAGAUGGAGCAUGGAUCAGCUGUACACGGAUUUUCCCUCUCCGUAGGCCGAUUUUCACCUUGUAUUACACGUUUGCUCAAGCAGGCAUGCUGUUUGGUACAAGACCAGUAUUAGAACAAAGUUUUACCAAAACUUACAAAACAAACUCACCACUACGUUGACCAUAACACAGAUUAUUGAACAUAUAAAACACAGGCCGAAUACAAACUGAAAAAAGCUUAUUCAAGGAUGCCAAAAAAUAAAGGAUGAAAAGGAUUAAUUAAAAAGAUAAAUACCCAACUAAUCCAAAAACGGAUGCACAGUAGAUUAAAACUGUAAAUCCAUAAAAAAAUGAAUUGAAUGAUCACAAUGAAACUUAAUACAACGUUUGAAAAACACUUAGCUAGAUUCUUCCGUCUUCAAAGCAAAUAAUGGCCUUUAAAUUUGGCAUGAGACAUCUAUUCAAAACUGGCUCUUUUUCCUUUCUCAGUUUCCCCUUUAGGAAUAUCUACCUUUCACUGGUCAUGUAAAAUGCCAAACGUUGACUGCUGUUACCUUGAAGUUGUUAUAUAUUCUGUUCUUUCUAGCAAACACAGGCAACGUUCUCAUGAGAAGACGGCACGCCACUUUGAAGGACAUUUUGUGUGUCAACUUUUUGGUGUCAUUCCCGACUAUUGUUAUGAAUUCAAGCAGCAAAACUGCUUGAUUAUGUUUAUAAAGAUGUUUGAUUUUUUGAUGAUCCUUGAAUAAAGAGUUAACUUAAGACUAAAUUAAUCUUGACUAUAAAAAAUGUAAUUUCAACAGCAUGCCCAGGCUAGCUCCAAGUUCCACCAAUCUGGCUGUUACAUGUUAAUAUUUUGGGUAAUCUUAGCAAUUUACUAACAAACACAAAAAACAAUUUUCCAUAAAACACAGUCCUACACCAUUUGUUUGCAAUCUCAUUGCUUGUGGUUAGUGUACCUUUUUUGAUCUUUACACAAUUCUGGUUGAUUUUCACUUCUGUACCAAAUUGGCCAACAUGUGAGGUGGUGGUAACAUGAGCUCUCCAAUAUCCCAAUGUUGGGCCUAUAAUCCUCUCAUUACAUUACAUUACAUAUAAUCUAGCUGAUACUUUUAUCUAAAGCGACUUACAAUAUGUGCAUUUCAACCAUAAGGAUACAAACUCAAAAGAACAAGAAACAUCUUUAAACAAUUUACAACUAACUUUGUUAGUGUUUUUAGUCAAAGUGUAGUCUGAAGAGGUGUGUCUUUAGUUUGUGGCUAAAGAUGUAAAGGCUCUCUGCGGUCCUGAUGCCAUCAGAGAGCUCAUUCCACCAUUUCGGAGCAAGGACAGCAAAGAGUCGUGAUCUAGUAAAGUGUUUUGCUCUCAGUGAGGAAGGAACAAGCAGAGCGGAGUGUGUGGGUUGGGAUGUAGGGUUUGACCAUGUCCUGGAUCUAGACUGGACCCGAUCCAUUCACCGCACGGUACGUGAGUACCAAUGUUUUGAACUGGAUGCGGGUAGCCAGUGAAGAGAGCGGAGGAGUGGAGUGGAGUAGUGUGGGAGAAUUGCAGACGGUUAAAGACUUAGUCGAGCUGCUGCAUUUUGGAUGAGCUGCAGAGGUCGGAUGGCGGUAGCAGGGAGACCUUCCAGGAGAGAGUCAGUACCUGCGGCACCAUCCAAGUGAGAAAGGAACGUCUUCCCCUGAUGUUGUACAGCGUGUAUCGACAGGAUUGUAUUGUUGCUGUAAUGUUGGGAGAGUUGGCUGUCAAGUGUCACACCAAGGUUCCUGGCAGUCGCAGUCUGGUCACAGUCAGGUCCUGUGUAAGAGAAUCUUUCACUGGAAAGAGGAAGUAGUUCUCGGGGUUGAUUUUCAGAUGGUGAAUGGACAUCCACUGAGAGAUCUGAGUGUCCGGGUGACCGAAGGAGAGAAAUAGUUGGGUGUCAUGGGCAUAGCUGCGGUAGGAGAAGCCAUGCGAGCAAAUAACAGAGCCGGUUUAGAGAAGGAGGAUCUGGUGGUUUACUGUGUCAAAUGCAGCAGAAAGGUCCAGAAGGAUGAGGACAGAGGAGAGAGAGAGGCGACUUAAUCAGUGUGGAGUUGCUCUGAUUAAUCAAUUUUAGAUUGGUAGUGUGAUGGCCCCUGUCGCUGAUUACGGCCAGUGUGCUUUUUGUCUCCACAGAGCAGAUUGCCAAAUGGAGAGCACCUGGUCUGAGAAAAGGGCGGGGCAUAAAAGCCCUCCUCCAGCGUGAGCCUGGGGCAUUUUUCCUCUCUGACAUGGUUCACGACUACUACUUAUUGUGAAAUGCGAAUAAAAUCGUUCUUACAUCCACCGCAGUGUCUUUGCCGCAUUUGUCGCAACUUACGAGCCAGGUUGUGACAGUACAAAGAGCUUUUGGCAGCAGAGAAAGAUGAGAGAAUUGAGACACAAGCAAGUCGUCCGGUUGUGUUAUAUUUACAUUUCCUUUCCAAUGCUCGCAUGGCAUUGACCGGUUCUGACAGCCACGGAGCCGGAGGGUUUUUGCCGGCCUGUCGUGUCGUAAGAGGACAGAGAGAGUUGAGAGCGGAGGAGAGUUUCCCGCGGCAGCGUUCAAAUGUAAGAGUGAGAAAGAGUCAGUUGAGGGCAGAGCACUGCUAGAACAGAAGAGUCCAAAGAGGAGGGAGAGAAUUUUGCGACAAACCUGUAGAGUUAGUUGAUGGGGUGGGAUCAUUAGAGAGCAGAAGAGAGUGUGAGAUGAAGAAGUGGAGUUAGAGGUAGAGCAGGUUUGAUUGUUCUCUUUAAUCAAAUCAGUAAGGUGCCAUAUCCACUGCCAUGAAUCACGUUUUAAUUGGCCAGCCUUUUUUAUAAAAAAUCCCUGCAAAUCCACUAAUACAUUUCUUUGAUGUUUUGUGCUAAAAUCUGUUAUCACUCAAUAUCCAACAAAAUGAAAUAACAUGCAUCAGUAUACAGUACUAGAACAAAGAAAUUCAAAUAUGUUCAUUCUUUACUUAACUUAUGUAGAUUCAGUUGUACAACAUUAAGUUACAUAAGUUUACUGUUGGAGGAAAAGGAAAUGUAUUCAAAUGUACUAAACAAAACUUUUUUUUAGUAGUGUUAACAAACGCAGGCUGCCGAUUUUAAAUGUCUGACCCAAAAAAGCAAAUUUUUUUUUUUUUUACCAUCAGACUUUUCCCUGCACAGUUUGAAGAAUGCCAAGGGGUCCCAGGGCCACUGGUAAGUGCGGGAUAAUUGAUGGAUGAAUGGAUUUUGUUGAAUCAGAUACAAAUUAAUUUACUUUGAACAUGGGGGCAGUCCUACCUGAAAGGCAGGGGAGGAGAUGAGAUGGGGAGCGACUGGAGAAAGCCGCAGGGCAAGAAGAGCGGAGACGUUCAGGGGCAACGGGCAAAGGAGGACUGGGAGGUGAGCGGGAGUUAAAUUAGGUGUGUAAUGUUAGGGUUGAUAUGAAGUGACUGAGUGUGGUGUGCUGUCAAUAAUUCGCCCUGCUCUUCGACAAUUCUUCUUCCUCCACUGACACUAAGAAACACCUUCUCCUCCUUAUUCUCCCAAAGAGAUUUCUUCCACCAGAAAUAGAUUUUGUGGUCCCUGAGUUCCACUUCUUUUCUAUCCAAGACAUUGAGAGAGAAAUACAGUUUCCUUUCAUCAGAGAGAUAUCACAUUAACAGCCUUAUAGCUUCAGAAAGUAUAAAUUUUAUUGGUAGUCUACU
ensembl:lncRNA